rnacentral:lncRNA from 1 species
CAGAGCGGUCCCGGCUGAGGGCUGUGGGUCACAGUGGGCGCUGUGGGUCACUGUGGGCGCUGUGGGUCACAUGGGAGCUGUGGGUCACAGUGGGUGCUGUGGGUCACUGUGGGGCUGUGGGUCACAGUGGGGGCUGUGGGUCACUGUGGGGCUGUGGGUCACUGUGGGGGCUGUGGGUCACUCUGGGGGCUGUGGGUCACUGUGGGGCUGUGGGUCACUCUGGGGGCUGUGGGUCACUCUGGGGGCUGUGGGUCACUGUGGGCGCUGUGGGUCACAGUGGGGCUGUGGGUCACUGUGGGGGCUGUGGGUCACUGUGGGGCUGUGGGUCACUGUGGGGGCUGUGGGUCACUCUGGGGGCUGUGGGUCACUGUGGGGCUGUGGGUCACUCUGGGGGCUGUGGGUCACUCUGGGGGCUGUGGGUCACUGUGGGCGCUGUGGGUCACAGUGGGGCUGUGGGUCACUGUGGGGGCUGUGGGUCACUGUGGGGCUGUGGGUCACAGUGGGCGCUGUGGGUCACAGUGGGCGCUGUGGGUCACUCUGGGGGCUGUGGGUCACAUGGGGGCUGUGGGUCACUGUGGGGCUGUGGGUCACAGUGGGGCUGUGGGUCACAGUGGGCGCUGUGGGUCACUGUGGGUCCGGGUCGGUUGGAGCACAGAACGAACAUCGGCGGCCCCAAUGGCAGCGCUGCACCCCAUGCGCUGCCCGCAGCUCAGCUCUGCGGCCUCUCCUCCCCCACGCGUGGCGCCGCUCUGUGCCUUUGCUCGG